AUUGAACGCUGGCGGCAGGCCUAACACAUGCAAGUCGAGCGGAGCGGCGGACGGGUGGGUAAUGCCUAGUGCUCUACCUGGUAGUGGGGGAUCACGUCCGGAGACGGGCGCUAAUACCGCAUACUAUCAGAUAAGCAUAGGUAGGAUUAGCUAGUUGGUGGGGUAAAGGCCUACCUAGGCGACGAUCCGUAACUGGUCCGAGAGGUUGAUCAGUCACACUGGGACUGAGACACGGUCCAGACUUCUAGGGGAGGCCGCAGUGGGGAAUAGUGGACAAUGGGAGAAAGCCUGAUCCAGCCAUGCCGCGUGUGUGAAGAAGGUCUUAGGAUUGUAAAACACUUUAAGUUGGGAGGCGUUACCAAAAGAAUAAGCACCGGCUAACUUCGUGCCAGCCGCCGCGGUAAUUC
rnacentral:rRNA from 1 species